ensembl:snoRNA small nucleolar RNA SNORA33
AAGCCAGCCCAUGAGUCUGCUCACCUGAAUGUGUUUCUGUAGGAAUUUAGAGAAAGCUGGCAAUAGAAAAGCCAUGUUAUGAGUCUUAAAGACACUGAAGUCAUUAAGGUCCCGGAAAAUAACUAUAAGA